AUUCCCUUUUAAGGUUGACCCAGUGCUUUAAGAGGCUGAUACAGAAGGGUAAAGUUAAGUCUCCACAAAACCCAGGGAAGAGACUGUGAAACUCCUCUUAGAACCUUGUGUGGAGUCAUAGCU
rnacentral:snoRNA from 1 species